CAUCCCUUGCAUGGUGGAGGGUGAGCUUUUUGAAAACCCCUCCCACAUGCAGGGUUUGCA
rnacentral:pre_miRNA from 1 species